ACUUCGUUCUCAGUUAAGACUGUAUAGGUCCUCCCUCUCUCUCUCUCCCUCUCCCCACCCUUCUACCCAUCCUCUGGCUGGACCAUGCCAGGAUGAACUCAAUGCCACCCACACACAGGAGAUGUAGAGCCCUCACAUGGAAGGUAUCCGGAUUACAGAAUCACCGUUGGAAGGGGAGCAGCCCAGCAAGGUGGCCCAACCAGGAAUAUCCACAUUAGAUGUUUUGUGAGUGCUGUAUUCCAGGGACCAUGACACCUCACCUUCCGGCUCCUGCAUCCUUCCUGCAGUAUCUAAGGGGACAGUGAGUUUAGAUGCCACUGAUACAAUCCCAACAUCACAAAAUGGAAGGAGUUUGGGUUCCAGAGUAACCAGCCUCACAGGAGAGCUGCCAGACUUGCCUUGGACAGUGACACGAGGGAGAAACAAACGUAUAUGUGAGAUCGCUGAGGUCAUGUUACCGCGACUGAAGUAAGAUAAGGUGGUGUCCGGAGUAUGGGGUCUGGAGCUUGACUACCUGGAUUCAAAUCCCUGCUCAGUCAUCUCUUGGCUGUGUGACUUAAGAUGAGAAGAUACAUCUGCUUCUGCUUCUAAGAGUCGGUGAUUCUCAUCCUUCUCUCUGCACUUGCCCUUGCCGUGUCCUUGGUCAGCACAGAGGAAGGACAACAGCCCAUCUCCCUCACAUCGGAAGUGGCUCCACAAGUUGGCCUUCACUGCCAUCAACCCUAACAGGUGUGGUGCUCUAUCUCCACAGUCCUCCAGAGCGCCCUCAAGUCCCUCAGGGUGUCUUUACUCCAAGAAGGGGUUCUAGACUAGACAAGCAGAGGUGUUGCAGAAAGGAAGAUACUGCAAAGGAUUCAGGCAGCAAAGGGUGUGCUCCCCACACUGGGGAAGACAUCUGGGCAGAAGGGCCUGGGCUGGACCUCACAUCCAUCCCUCUUCCCUUGGGGUCCUUGACCACCCUUGAGAAUGGCACCUACAUGCUCUAAUUCUCCAUAAAAUCCAGAGGCAAAAUGUCCCUGCUGUAAAGACCUUGAACCCUUUUUGGGAAGGUUUUAUGAACUUAAUAUCAUGGGUUGCUCUAACCCCAACCUUUGUCCUGACAGCAUCUGCUCAGGGAGUUUGAGAUUCAGCCAGUCUGUAAAGAGCUUCAGAUCCAGGGCUUUGAGGUGGGGAGAAGUGGUCACCUUGGAGAAAGCAGGAAACUGUGGCCAGCUGGGGCAUUCUUUGCUAUAGAUUCCAAGAGACAAACUUGCUGAUCCCAGGUCAAGUCUGCCCCUGCUUCCCUGCAUCUAGAACCAUCUCUGGCUCCACCUCCCAUUAACACCCCAGAACAGAUUCCCUACCCACCUCCUCAAGAAGAACAUUGCCUCCGGGGAUUUUCUAAGAGUUUUUAGGAUAAGCAGCAGUUAGAAGCUAACAAUAAGUAAAAUUUCCAGAAAUCAAGAGAAACUUGCAAUGUUCCUUGACACUUUAAAUGAUGCACUUGAAACAAGAGGCUUACAUUAGGAUCUAAAUUAGAGUUCUUGAGUGGCUUUUUGUAUUUUUUCUUUCACGUUAACCUGACUACAACUUUAUCUUCUCCAUUCACUUCCAAGAAGUCCUUAUAUAAUAAAGAGUUGAAGGCAACUCAAAUUACAAAGUUUACAUGCCUUUGGGGAUGGCUGUAUUAAGUAAAUAGAGAGGAAUGGUCACAUUCAGUGUAAGCUAAAACACCCAAGGCUGGCAGUAGGAAAAGGAGCUACCUACCUAUCAGGUCUUUCAUAAAGCCAGUCCCUUAAGUAGAAAGAAUAAAGUUCUCUCAAGACUUACCCUAUGGACUGCCUUUCACAGCUGGUUCAUAUUUAUAAGCCAAUUUGUCUGGAAGUAAAUCUCUUUAACACACCCAACUGACUCCAAGAGGUGUGUCCCAUGGGAACCAAUCUUAAAUAACUGUCUCAAGAAAAGUUUUAGCAGCAAUAUUGUCAGUCCUGGAAUUUCCACCUUUGGGGGGAAAAAAAAUCAACAAUAGAAUGCUUGGAAAUACAGAAUACACAGAGUUUAGCAAACUGCCAAAUUAAAUUCAGACACACACACACAAAUUUGCUAAUACCUGGUUAAAGAGUUGGCAUGGGAAGAAACAGACUUCUCAUUCAAGCCUGAAGCUCGGUAAUGGGUCAUUUGACCUGAAAUAACUUGGGCGGAAGUUGGCCUUAUUGUCUUCCACAAUCUCUUCCCACACAGUCAAAAAAGGGGAUGCAAUCUUAAGAUUUUUUCUUCCUCAUUCUCUCCCGCCCUUUCUCCUCUCCCUCCCUCCCUUUUAUUUUCUCUCUCUCCUUUCUUCCUUCUUUUCUUUCUCUUUCAAUCUUUGGGCAUCAAAAAGGGUAUCCCAGAAAACUUCAAAUGAAGUUUUAGAAGAGGACCGUGUGUUGGUUUCAGUUGUUUUUAGGGUGGGGGCUUGAACAACCUCAUCUCAAAAACGGAGAUUUUUUUUAUUACCUCUUUUGGUUGAGAUAUAAUUAAUAUAUAAUAAAGCUAUCUAAUUUACUGAAUUGGUCUGAUUCACAAGUUAAAUAAGGUUAAAUCAAAGAAAACAUGUAUAAGUCCCUCUAGACAGUGUCCAGGGUUGACUGGAUUAUAAACAGACAUAACCACUGAGGUCACUUUUUAAUUUAAAAACCCUCAAUGGCUCCUGACUUCCUACAGAACAGUCUAAAAAUCUAAGGCUCAAAAAUGUCAGGCUCUCCUUUCUAGUGCUACCUGCUGCCCCCAUCUCUUAUACAUACCAUUUGUCAGAUGCAACCAGAUAAUAGAAAUUUCCAGUCUCUCAGCUUCCUCCUGCUGCCCCAGGUCUGCUUAUCAAGGCCCUGCCCAUCCUUCAAAGUCAGAAGUCAUCUCCUCCAUGGAGUCCUCCAGGUCAGUCCUGCUGGUAUUCAUUUCCUUGCCUAUGGCCUAUCUCAUUACAUUGUUAUUGCUGCUAAGGUAUUUGACACAUUCUGUUUCAUAUUAACUACUUCCUGUGACGAGCACCCUUCUUUCGUGUAAUUUUGAUAAACAUUCAUUGAGCAUCUAUAAUAUGUGGGCAGAGAGCCAGGCAUGGGGAGGAGCUCGGCAGAGGUACAGAGAUGAGUGAUGUGGUGUUUACUCUGGAAGAGCUCAGGGCCUGGUGGGGAGCCUUGAGGUGGCAAGUCCCACCAUGCACGAUCCAUCUCCAGCAGUGUCUACGGUUUCCAUGCACACCAGAUAUAGAUGCUAAUACAAAUGAAGCCGUGCUAAAGGUAAAAAAAAAAAAAAAAAAAAAAAAA
rnacentral:lncRNA from 1 species